CCCGGUUAAUGGGUCAGUAAAGGUCUGGUUAUUAAAGACCUGGCCAGUCAGAACUUCAUCAGUUAAGGACCUGGUCAGUUGGGACCUCAUCAGUUAAGAACUUGGGCAGGUGGAACCUUGUCAGUUAAGGACCUGGUCAGUUGGGACCUCAUCAGUUAAGAACUUGGGCAGGUGGAACCUUGUCAGUUAAGGACAUGGUCAGUUGGGACCUCAUCAGUGAAGGAAGUGGUCAGUUGGAAUCUUGUCAGUUGGGCCCAGUCAGCCUGGCAGCGAAAGCCUCAUCCGUGGGUUCUGGAUAGUGAGGCCUGGUCACUGGAGGCCUGGCCGUGGAACCUGGCCCAGGACGUGGAGAUGCCCGAUGCUGGGAGGAGGCACAGACAGCAGGAAGGAGAGAAGGAAGGAACUUCCAUAGUAUGGAUGCCUACGAAGUUACAACACGUGGUUCCAUCACCAUGUUCUCUGUUUAUUUCCCACAUAAUUCUCUAUUCUAAACUGGCCUCAGUUGAGCACAAAACCAUCCUUGUACUACCACAAAUAGUUGGCCAUGGCUCUUUGAUAGCAGUUUUUAUUCUGCUGUGGAAAUUAUCCUUGAACUGGAAAAAGUCCCCAACCCAACAUCCAGUCACUCAACACUCUCAUCUUUAUAAAGAGCUGCUUUCAAAUUCUAGAUCGAUUUUUGGAAAAGUAUGUAUUGCUCUGGUAAAAAGUGCUGCAUCUAUGAUCUCAAAUCUCUCCCUCGAAUUGGAUGGAGAUGGUGAAUUUCAGCCAAAGUGGCCAAAGAACUCGUGUCCCGCGCUCCUGAAUGCCAUCAGCUCCCGCACCUCCAUCAUUCCUCCUCCCACGAGUCUCCUGCUCCCCGUGACUUUGGUAAGAGCUCCUCUGUGAACGUGGAGGAUGUCUGGGAAUUUGAUGCGUUGCUGCUUGGACAGCAGUAACAGGUACGAGACAGAAUCCAGGUCCUGCCUGGGCCAAUCUGGGAAGAGCUUGACGAUGGUAUUGUAGGCACCUCCGGUGAAGGUUGAUGGGCUGGUUCAGGCCCACCCAGAAGGCCUGCUGGGCCCACUCCAAAGCCUGGCUGAGGCCGUGGGAGGGCUGGCCCCCUGCUGAUGCUCCUUCUCAAAGCCCCUCACCUGCUUGCCGUGAACUCCAUGCCCUGUGGCUGAGCAGCAGCGCCGUCAUCCACCUUCUUGAGAAAGCAUAUGAAGCUGUCAAUCAUGCUCUCCACCUCCUGCAGGUCGAGGGCAGUGGUGGUGCAGUGCUCAGGGUCAGGAACGAGCUGGCACCCACCAUGUCACCUUUCUCGCACCACCCACCUCCCAUGACCAGGCCACGUAUCCAGUGUUCAUCUUCGAUACCCACAUCCACUCCCCCAAGUGAUGCCCACCUUCUCGCUGACCUGCUCUGCUUGGAUCGGAGGCAGUUUUCUUAUUUUCUUUCCUCAAGAGGUGCUGUGCCAUACAGAAGGCCUUCCUCUUGCCUUGUUUCCAGGCCUUCUCUCGGUGCUGCUGAGGCACAUCAGGAAGUGCUGGAGGACGUGGCACUGCGCCAGCACUGGGCGGCCGGCCGUGUAGCUCAUCCCGCAGAUCGUGCUCUACCUAUACUUAGAGAUGAAGUCCUCCUGGAAGCAGCUCGUGGCCCACUUCUCAGGUAGUUGGGGCACAGACAUAGCCAGGAAUGUCACCAGACACGCAUCCAGCCAGUCCAAGUGCUUGUUGCGCCGUGCACUGGGACCUGCCUGUGCAUGGUCACCAGCUUGCAGGAGAGGACGCUAUUCAUGCCCUUGGAUGAGCCUAGUGGCGGUUCACACCUGGUCCUCAGUGGCUCCCUGAGCCCCCGUCGUGGCAACAGCUUGGCCACCAUGAGGCGCAGUCUCAACUGCUUCCCCACUUGUCAAGUCAGGCAGGGAGGCCUUGUGCUUGGCGAGGCGUUGGGCUCUGUGAAGGACGGGGACAAGCUGUGCGUGGCUCUGUGGCUCUAUGGCCUCAAGUGGCAGGAGAACCCCUACUCCUUCCAGUGCACUACCAGCGACACCGCUCAUCCACCAUCACGGGGCUGCCAUCCCACUUGUGAUCCUCGGCAUCGUCACUUCAUCACUGCCCUGACUGUCCUGGUUGCCACGAAAGAGCUGCUGAGGCCACGGCUGUCGGGCACGCCUGCCGUCUGAAGCCUGCACCGGCUGCUGAAAGGUAUUCAGUGGUGGCACGUGCUGCGGCUGUAGCACCGGCUGGAAAGUGUCAGGAAGGGGUCUCAAGGAGGUGGGCAGCAUACCGGGCAUGGCCUCGAAGCCUCCUGACAGCAUGUUGGCAGCGUGGCUGAGAUGCUGGGGCCACCAUCACCUGCCAGUCCCAGCUUGGAGUCAUAGAUCACCUGCAUGACACAGAUGAGGCUGGGAAGAGGCCACAGUCACUGUAGCCAUGGACGCUCUUGAGCAGCCCUUGAUGUCCUGCUCCCGCACAGGCUCAGCACCUCGUGUUCCUGCAGCAAGUUCUUGCCGGGGUUCUCUGACCUGAAAUGGUACAACAACCGGGUGAGGUGUGCCAUGUCCCCUGCGUGGCCAUCCGUGCUGCAAUUAAAGGCCCAUGGCACCCCUGGUGCCCUCCCCUACCAAGCAGGGCUGGGGUUGAGGCCGGGCCCCUCUGGACCUAGGACUUGUGCCCUGGGAGGGGACUCUGUCCAACAAGUCAAAUCAGAGGCCACAGGGCAUGCUCCUGGCUGGCCAGGGCUGGGAGGACGCCACGUUCACCCCUCCCUCUGGCAGCCUGAAAGGGACCAGCUUCCCUGUUGAGAAGGACUUCAUAAGGCCCAGGAGCCAUCUGGGGCUGCAGAGCAACUGGCUGGGAGCUGCCCUGGCUCCUUCCAUGCCAUGCUAGUCAUUGCCCACCAAGAGGGGUCCGAUGCAAGUGCCCCCAUGCAAGGGACUUAUCUCUGGACCUGCCUCUCAGUUCUCAUGGGGCCCAGCAGGGCCUGGUGUUGUGGCCAAGAUGGGGUUGCAGGGCUGGUCCCCACUGAUGGUCCUGGGGCUGUGUAGGGUGGAUGUGGAAGGGACGGAGCACAGCAUCCCUGUUCAAAAUUUUACAAUGGGAACCACGGGCCUCUGACAGCCAAGUCUCUGGGCAGCUUCGGGAGGGAGUUCAGAAAAUGCAUGGGUCCAUUCUGAACCCUCAGGAUCCCCAGAGAGCAACCUGCUGCCCUGAGUUUUCUGGAAGCUCCUUCGUGCCCCUGGGCCUCAGUCUUGGAGACUGCCAGCCAGGUCAGGGUGGGAGAGGACCAGGGUUGCAUUCCGGGGUAGGGGGCUGGCUGCAUGGGCCCCUGGAGCUAAGCUGGUAGGCAGGGGCGGGCCAGCCCAUCUCCCUUGCAGAGGGGCUCAAUGCCAGGGUAUGCUCACAGAGGCCUGGGUGCCAAGGACCCUCGAUUGGGUUUGGCUGAAAAAAUAGCAGAUGCGAGCGGUCAGCUUCUCCUCCAAGUCCAUUAAGUCCUCACAAGGCUGGGCCCCACAGACCUGGGUCUCUGGUGUCCUCAGCAUCCCUGUGUGGCUUCUUGAGUCUGACUCUGAGGACACCCCUGCAGGCUGCUGAUCACAGAGCAAGAGGUGUGUGGAUCCCUCAGGGCACGGGGAGCUGUUGGGGCACCUCACGUCACUCCUGGGGCAGUGGCUUAGGAUUCAGGCUGGCUCCAGACUUCCUCCUUCACCUCCUCAUCCCAGGGCUGUGUGGCCUGGGUAGCAGCCCUGAUUCAGAACCAGGUGGGAGAGGCCUUGGCUGUCACCUAGCCCCCUUGCCACCUCACACAAGACACUAUCUCCACAGUGGGUGAGAUGGUCCCAGGCACGGGGCCCCCUUUGCCCUCCAGGACCGUCCACUCCAUGCCUGGACGGGACCAUUCCCACACCUGCACCUGGCUGAACUCUUGGAUCUGGCUCUGGCCAGGGCUCCUAUCCGUGUCCUCUCCCCAAGUCCUCUGGGUCAGUGACACUGAUUCUCUUUUUCCCCUGGCUCAAGGCUUAUUGCCCUGACGUCCUUGGAGGGGCAUUCUGGAGUGAGCGGCCCCUGCUCCUCUCAGCAUCUGUUGAUGUUGGGAUGGUGGUUAGGGAGCUCGCACAGAGGAGAGAGGAUGUAAAAAGCAUAGGGGGCGUUGAGGGUUCUUUCUCCAGUCCCUGCCUGUCUGAGCAGCAUGUCCAGUACAUAUGCGCUCAGCACCUGCCCAGAAGCUGCUUAGUGUAGAGGAGGAAAAGGCAGAAAAAGAGGUGCAGGAGGAAGGGCCAGGUAGUAGGGCUGGUGGGGCCGGGGCCCUCUCCACUAUCGAAUGCUCCAGAGGAUGACUUGGGAGAGGGGACCUGGUGCUGGAGCCCACGAGGGGGUGGCAGAUCCCAGCACUGGCUCAUCAGUUCCCCCACAAAGGCCUCAAAGUGCCUGAGCACUGUGGCAUCCUCCAGGGCCCAGGCCUGGGAGCACUGGUCCUGAAAGAACUCCCUCCCACAGGGUGGACUGGGACAGGUUCAUGGUCGCUCAAGGGACAGGAAGGGCAUCAGGCCGGGAGGGGUUCCUGGAAGGGGUUGGUGCCCACACCCCGUUUCCAACACUGCCACCUCCCACUGAGCAGCACUGGGUCCUUCUGUGGCCAACCCUGGGGUCCAGCUGUGCACAGGAGGCCAUGGCCGGGGGAGGCCCGGGCAGGGACGUUCCCACCACACUCCCACCUUUCACAUGGAUCACUCAUUUCAAGGGUGGGCUCAGGGUCUGGGAGAACUCACUAUGCCCUGCCCAGCCCUUCAGGCCAGGCCUGGCCAUCCCUGGCCAUCCCUUCUGAUGAGAGCAGAAGGUCAUGGGGACAGAGGCCUCAGGCCAGCCAGGCUGUGUCCCAUGAGUUCCCCAGGAAACCUCAGACACAGGGGGACUUGCUUCUGUGAACCUCGAAGGCCGUGGGCGCCAUUGCCAUUAUUGCAUGCUUCAUCUUCAGGCUGAACCCGAAGGGGAUCUGUGGGGACAGCAGGUGUGAGAGGACCUGGCCCUUCCAGGCUGGGAGCUGGUGGCCCAAGCAGGGCCCACUGUGGUUUCAGUCCCCUGGAGUGCCAGGGACCCGUCCCCAUGGGAUGAGCUGCCACCAUGAGGCUGGGUCAGAAGAGGUCUUGCAGCUCCUCAUGGAGGGGACUCAUCUCAGCAGGGAUGUAGCUCCUGGAGGGAGGGGCUCCCCAGGGCCUUGGACUUCCCCGGGCUCUUCCAAGUGGAGACCUGGCCCAUUCUGCCCUGGCCUCUGCUGUACGAUGCCCCCUCUCAGGUGUUGCCUGGCUUGUGUGCCCUGUGGGGACCCGCCUGUGCCUCCUGCUGGGUGGGGGUGAGCCAGGUCCUCCUGGGGAAGCCGGACCCCUGGGCUGGGGGAGCCAAGCAGUGCGGGGCAGGAGGGUCCCUGGACUGGGAGUUUCCAGUGCCUCAUUACCCCCAUUUAAAGCACCAGAGGAGCCAGUGUAAACGUGGAAUUCUGGGCAUGCAGCUCAUCCUUGUCCUGAUGGGAGGAGCAGAGGUGCUCAGGGCCCCUUGGGCUGCCCCCAAAACAUCCCUAUUUCAGGCCCCUCUGCAGCCCUUCCCUGAGGGACAGAACACUGGGCGGUCCCCAGGGCACCCCGCCACACCUGCCCCCCGCAUGGACCUUCGGUGGACACACUUCCCUUAGCCCAGCUCAGCCAGAGCCCAGUCCCCGUCCCAGAGCCUCUGCCUUCUCCAGAGCAGAAAAAGGAAACCCAACUACAAUCCCAUGGAGAACCCCACAUCCCAGGUCUGGCCCCUGCUGGGACUCAACCUCUCACCCCCUAUGAGGAGGAGCCAGAACCUCCCUCUACCCCUGAUCCCCAAGCCUCUGGGGAAGAGCCAAGGGGACCGUCUCCUCACCAAGUCCUCAUAAGCUUCGGGGAUGAUGUCCAUAACACGUGUCCCGGGUGGGCUUAGAGUCUCUGGAGCCUGGCACAAUUUGAACUGCAGAAUCCUGAGAGCCCACAACCUAUCACAAAAUCAAAGCCUGCUCCCAAGACGUGGAGCCGUCAGCUGGAAGAGCUGGCACUGGCAGGGGUCCUCAGACCCCCAGGCCUCCCACCCUCCCAUCUGGCCCCUCCAGCAUGCAGCCUUGGCCCAGGGGAGGAGGGGCAGGAAUGUCCCCUGGAUCCUGGCGGGAGGAGCUGCCCAGUGGGGCCCUGAGCUGAGGUAUUAGGAGGAGAGGCCUGCCGUGGAGGCCAAGAGGGAGGAACGUGGCAGGCAGGGGCCAGCAGGGUGAGCGGGGUGGGUGCUGGGGGUGCAUUACUGUCUUCUGGACAUUCAUGGGGUCAGGCUAGGGGACAUGCGAUGAGGAAGCAUUACUGUCUGGGUUUCAUCUGCCUGUCUGAGGGUGAUGAGGACGGCUAGGAACACAGUCAGCCACCAGGAGGCAGGAGGACCCUCAGGGAGGUGAGCGUUGCCUGCGCAAAGUCGGGGUUGGAGGACCAAGCCUCCGGGAUACAGAAGGUAGCCACAGGGAGGCUGUCAUGCCCUCUGCUGAUGGGGAUGAGAGGCAUCUAACUCAGGGUGUGGGGGUCCCUAUCCAGUCCCAGGCUCCUGCAUGACCCACAGCAGGCAACAUCCUAGAGGCUCCAAAUGAGCUGGGGACACAAGGAAGGCUCCUUGCCUGGAAGCUGGGAUCAUCUAGCCAGGGUGACCAUCCCCAGGCCUGGCUGUGUGAGUCCCCAUGGGCAGCUGUCCACCUACCCUGCAAGGAGUGCCUCUCACCAGCCAGCAGCUGGGCCACCACUCAGAAGGUAUCUUUUCUGGGCAGAUAGAGAAGAGUGGCAGCAAUGCAGCUCAUGGCCCUGCAGUAGCCCAGCUCCUGCAAGAGUCAGAGUCACCAUGGAAGGAUGUCACCUGGGAGGGCUGAGGUCACCUGAGAGGACUGAUGUCAUUGAGGAGGCCUGCCACAGGCCCUGUGGGAUUUGGGGUGCAGCCUGUUCACCCCUCUCCUGACACUGGGUGUCAGGACUGAGCAGGUCACGCACGUCUCAGUUGACAAGGAGUCCAGAGAGACUCCUGUAGCGAGCGUCCAAGCCCACAUGGCCCGAGAGGACAUAGGAGAGGACCGUGGAUGUCCCUCCCCCUCAGAUGCCAGGCCAGGGAGGCCACCGUGCCAGGCUUGGGACAGCAUCUGUGAGCUGGGCUGGCCAACAGGGCGGGCUGGGGGCCCACCGCAUACAGGGUCCUGGGAAGACCCAGGGGCUGCCUGCCAGGUAUGAGAGGGAGGCUGGGUCCAGACCCUGGGUGUGCAGCCCAUGGAGCCAGCUCAGUGGCUGUCCCUCCAGGAGUGAUCUGGAAGCUGGGGGCACAGUGGGAGCAGGCACUUCAGGAACCCCCUCCCUGUCUGCUGCGCUCCAGUGGGGUUCGGGCGGAGGGGACGUUGGAUCCCUGCCAGUUUUCCAAUGAAGAAACAGCUUCCACGGGAUCCACACUCAUUUCGUGACAAGAGUGACGUCCAUCAGGUACUUUGGCAACUUGUCAAAAAUGCCUCCUGGGAGGACCAUUUUGGGACACUGACCAGCUCCUGGACCUUGGGGCAAGCCCAGGAGGAGGGUGUCAUUUCUUGUUCUGAGAUUGGGGGUCAGGCUCAGGUCAGACCAGGAGUCUGUGCCUGAGCCCUCUCCAUCUCAGCAUGACCCCUCUGAGACCCUCCCUCCCUGCCUUGCUUGAAUAUUCAAGCCAACAGCGAGCUUGAGUCCUACCGGCUGCGUCUUGGUAGGUGUCAGAUACUGAAUUUUAAAGAAGCAAUGACACCCCCUACCCAAGACACCCGUGCCUAUGAAUAUGGGAAUGUGACCCGGGAAUAUUGUUGCCUGGGAAUACUCAUGGGAUUAGGUGCAAUAUGCCACCAGGACAAGAAAGACGUGCUGCAGCCUAGGAAAGAGAGAAAAGAGGGUUUGGGUUCACACGGAUGCUGUUUUGUUCUCUCUAUCGUGUUCCAACAAGGAAUCCAAUUCCAGGUCCAGAUGAUGCGCAGAAUAAGCAGUGAGCUCUUCAGGGUCACUGAGUUUUAUGAAAUGUUUUGGUGAAAGUGGAUUUUACUAUUCCCGGGUUGAAGAUUGUCUUGGUGGCCUUCAACUGUGAGUGACGGUGAAUCAAGCUGUGGACGUGGCAUGCAGGUUUUACAUGGCCAUCAGUUUUCAAAUCAGUGGGAUCAGUCUCUGAGAAUCUUCUGGGACAUGUGGCGCGAGUCCACUGAGUUUCGUGCAGAGCCGCCCAACGGGUUCCCAAAGGGGCUGUGCCCUGUCGCAUUCCCACCUGGCAGGGACAAAGGUCCCCGGGGCCGCACAUCGUCCCGGCAUUUGGUGUCGUCAGUGUUGCUUGGGAAGGCUCCCGAGCCCCUCAUCCUGCCGCCCUCCCGUAGGUUACUGCACUUUCCACCAUUUCUCAUGAUUUUGUUCAUUGCUCUCUGUCUCCUCAGGAGCCACCUGGGCUCCGGCCCCACAUAUCCCAGCCAGGCCCAGGGCUUGCAGCCAGGAAGGCACUCAGUCUAUUGUGCUAGCUGCUCCCUGGGCCUGGAAAGCUUUUGGUGGCUCUGUCACCCCUCCUGGGUGACCCCUGCCUCUGCUCUGGUGAAGCUCCCAUCCCUCUGGUUCACGCCAUCUCCCCAGGGACUCUCCAGCCCUGCAAGCCUUAAUUGACACUGCAUUGUGGCCAAAACAUCAUGUGGUUUCUUAGUGUAUGGCUGACAUCCAGGUUGAUCUGGUGGAAGUUCCAGGGGGGACCUCUUUCCCUUCAUCUUCACGACCUCCAGGGCAGGGCCAGGAAGAGGAAGCAGCCUCUGAACAGAGAGAAGACUCGCUGCCCCACACGGCAGUCGUCCACAGGCAGCCCGGAAGGAAGGAAAGAAGGAAAGGAAAGGAAAGGAAAGGAAAGGAAAGGAAAAGAAAGGAAAGGAAAAAGGAAAGGAAAGGAGGAAGGAAGGAAGGAAGGAAGGAAGGUUGGUUUCCUUCUGCAGAAAGCUCCUCCUCUGGCUUGGUUCCUUACAAUCCAACUAGUCCUGGAGCUCAGCUCACCUUUGGUGCUGGCAUCACGGUCUCUGCCCAGGAUGUCCACCUGACCACGCCCCCUCCACCUUCAACCCAGGCUCUGCGUUCCCUCCAGCUGGAGGCUUGGGCUCUCAACACAGCCUGGCCUGUUUGUCCUCCUCUGGCUGACUUCGGAAGGGUCAUACCUCGUAUUUCCACCAGUUCUCGGCCUUCACCUUCUCGACAUCCAGGAAGUGUGACCACACUUGGCCCCACAUCUAUGGAGAAUGUCUUUAUACACGCUGUCUAUCAACUUGGGACAGAACACUCUGAAGAAACAGGGUCUGGGGCAGCCCCAGGGAGGAUCGGAGCCUGAGGAUUCUGGAAGUCUCCAGUCUCUGACUUGUUGGUUUUUCAGGGGAUGUGCAGUUUACCUAGCACCAGGCCUCCCUCCCACGAUUCAGAGUUAUGAAUUCUCAUCUUGACCUAUUCCUUCCUUCGGUUUGCCACGGGGUGUCCCUAUCCCUGAGAUAGUGCUGGCUCAUGCCCUGGCAUCACACUGUCUCCAGCAAGUUGAGGUUUGCAGGGACAAACAGGAAAGCUGGUGACCAGACCUGCUGUCCAGGGUGAGGACAGUGUGUCACCCACCCUCUGAGAGACAGGCAGUGCCAGGACCCAGCCAUGGGAGCCCAUCCCCCGACUCUGUAGAGAGCGGUCACGGGGGCCCUCCCUCCCCAUGUCACCUCCUUGCCACUCCUAUAUCCCUGCCCGUCUUGAAGCAUCUGGAGCCAUUUCUCUGUGCCUCUCAUCUCCUGACGUCUUUGCUGUCAACUAUGACCAGAAGUUAGCGGAGCUACCAAGGCUUCCUGAAGCAGCCUUUGGAGGCUGUAUCCUGGGCUCCGAGGCCCUGACGGGACUGAACCACAAAAAGAACCAGGAAAGGGCAGGCCCCGGGGACUGAGACCCUCUGACUGAACAGGCGUCUGUGACCUGGCCUCACGACCUGGGACAUGCCAUCCUCAGGCCACAGACACCGGACUUUGGUCAAGUACUAGCCUCCAGGUGGGGUCCUGGUGCAAGCAGACAGCAACCCCCGAGCCGUGACUGCGGUUCUCAGUUUGGAGUUUGGUCAAACAACCAAUGGGGACAGAGUCUUGGGGUCAGGUCCAGCAGGAACUGCCACCCCUCCCAGGGACAGCCUGUCUCUCCCACUCACCAUCGCUGGUGCCCACGGGCUGCUGACCACCUGCCAAGUCCUCCUGUCCCUGGACCAGCCUCUCAGGCAGCAGGUCUUACCUUUGCCUCCAGGGCACUGAUCGAUGGCAGCUUUGUCUCACUGUAAGGCAACCCAGACAGAGCUGAGGGCCCGUGCUGGGCCAGGAGCUGUCCUCCUCCUUCCCUAGCAGUCCUAGGGAAGGACCAGCCGUGUCUCUCCCCACCCCACCCCUGGUCUUAGCCCAGGAGACACACAGGGAAGGUAGGAAGAGGGUCUCCCUGUGGGCUGACGCCUGUGAAGGGACAGGACCUGGGAGAAGAGGGGUGUGUGGGUGGGGCAGGGACCACUAGGGUCCUGUAGAGCAUGGGCUUGGGCUACACAACAGGGCUGCCCCUCCUGGGCUAGAGGCAGUGCCCUCUGCAGGAGCUGAGAAUGUCCAGUCCUGAGAAAGGAUGUGUAUGGCCCAGGGUGGGUGACUGGGCCCCAAAAGCAGUCCUCAAGGGAGUGACCACAUUACCAGGCCAGGAUCCUGAGACCUGCCCAGUGCACUGAGGGUGCACCUGGGGCCUGUCCCACCUGAUGUCCCCAAGUGCCCCGCAAGGUCUGAUCUCUCAGCCUCCAUCUACCUCCCCCAGGGGGUGGGGGCUUGCUUUGAGCUGUCCCCACCUUUCUGGAUAGAACUAAUGUACUUCUUACAUAUAUUGAUUGAUGUCUCAUGUCUCCUUAAAAUGUAUAAAAGCAAGCUGUGGGCCAGGCGUAGUGGCUCACGCCUGUAAUCCCAGCACUGUGGGAGGCUGAGGCUGGUGGAUCACGAGGUCAGGAGAUCGAGACCAUCCUGGCUAACACAUAGAAACUCCAUCUCUACUAAAAAGUACAAAAAAUUAGCCAGGCGUGGUGGCGGGCGCCUGUAGUCCCAGCUACCUGGGAGGCUGAGGCAGGACAAUGGCAUGAACCCGGGAGGUGGAGCUUGCAGUGAGCCGAGAUCGCACCACUGCACUCCAGCCUGGGCGACAGAGCGAGACUCCGUCUCAAAAAAAAAACCAAAAAAUUAUCUGGGCAUGGUGGUGGGUGCCUGUAAUCCCAGCCUUUCAGGAGGCUGAGGCAUGAGAAUUGCUUGAGGCUGGGAGGCAGAGGUUGCAGUGAACUGAGAUCGCGCCACUGCACUCCAGCCCAGGUGACAGUGUGAGACUCCAUCUCAAAAAAAAAAAAAAAAAAGCAAGCUGUGUCCCAACCACCUUGGGCACAUGUCAUCAGGACUUCCUGAGACCAUCACGGGUGCAUCCUCAACCUUGGCAAAAUAAACUUUCUAAAUUAACUGAGACCUGUCACGGAUUUUCUGGGUUCACCUCUCAAAGGGUAAAGAGUCAUGCAAAUUAAGACAAGUGGCACUGGUUCCCUGACCAGGAAUCGAACCUGGGCUGAAGUGGUAAAGGCCCAACAUAUUAGCCCCUGUACCACAGGGUGGAGUAUAAGUUCAAUAAGAAUCCAAAGCAGGCAGUUUGAGCAUUUAAAGGACUUUGACAGGGGAGGAGUUUCUACGCUAGAAAGGAGAUUGGCACGAGCUGGGGAGAUGUGUCCUGCCUCAGUGAGGCCUUUCUAAAAAAAAAACCCAUCCCUGGGUGGUGAGGGUGGGAACAGAGGACUCACUGCGGAAUCCCGAGGUGAUCGGUGACUUUGUAGCUGUCAAUAUCCUCAGGCCCCACGUCUGCAGGUGCCUCCGCUCAGCAUCCCUGUGACCCAGAGGGGAUUCAGGGUGAGGGGGCCGAGGUGAGGGGUGUGGGGACAUGAAGUUCCCAGCAGCUGGUCCUGGCCCUGCAUCCGGAGGGAGCCCAGGACACUCCAACCAGGAUACAGCUGGAGAUGGGUGGCCUCGCCUCCCUCGAGGGAACAGCCCGACCCGGACCUGCUCACACUUGUCAAUGAUGUCCCGCUCCUGCGCGAGCAGGGCAGCUGUAAUCCUUUUCCAUGUCCAUCCUGCGAGACAACAUUGUCCAAAGGCCACACUGCACCUGGGUGCUUCAGAGAACACCCAAACCGCUUCCACCCAACUCUGAGACGCCGCCAGCCAGGUGAACCCCAUGCCACCACCGCUCCGGGUGAAAACGGGCCAGAUCUAGGGUCCCCAUGCCUGCUGGGGUCUCUGGAGUCCCUGCCCCAGCCAGAGGUGGGCUUCUUCCUGAGGAUUUGAGAACAGGGGGACCUGGACACAGACGCCCAUUGUCCCUAAAUGCCCUGAAUCAGGCACAUAAGGGAGGAACGGUGUCCAUCUGCUGAGGGUGAGGGGCCUGUGGUGCGCUAUUUCAGACACCUGCAGGUAGACUGGGGUCAGGGAUCAGAGAGCUCCAUAUGCUCAGCCUCCUGGGAUCACGCAGGGACCAUGAAGAUGCCCAGUUUCUUACAGGGAACAAGACACCUCGUGACUGCUCCGUUUCACCCCCAUCUCCACUCCCUCUGGCCAGUGAAGCCGCUUCAAGAAUAACAUCAGCCAAACGGGAGGGUGCUUGGUUUGGGGUCAACGCAGCCUCUCUGCUCAUGAAGAUGUCUCAGGUGAAGGGACAGUGGAUCCCAAGUUCUGAGCUGUCAAUACAGGAAGGACCCUCGUGUUCCGGGGUCACUGAGAAAGAAUGAGAACUCUGAUGACUUGGUCCUGGAGAACUCCAGAGGGUCCCUUCCCAUGAACAUUCGGAACAAAGAAAGGGCGAGGCCUGUAAAGGAACAGAGAAAGGGCCUUGUGCGGAAGAGCCCCAGUUCCCGGUGAAGAGGAGGAACGAUCAUCACCCUCCAACCAACCCUCCGGGGCGCCAUCAUUUUCCACAACUGCCCAAGGACAGAGGGCUCCCCACCCCACUCCCAGACAAGAGACCCCAUAUGUCCAGUGGGUCCCACAGCGACCCCCACUGACUGCACCCAAAGUCUGGGUUGAUGAGAUCUUCUCUUGCAGGGACCCACCUUAGGACACAGACCUGGAUGGAAGACCACCCUCCACCCCACCCACAGGGGCUCUUCCAAGGCCAGGCUCUGUCCUAUUGCUGUCAAAAAUUUUGUAAAGAUUUGGGAUCGAGGGCAUAAGGGGCACCGCGUAAGGGAGUGAGUCCCACACAGCACAGGGCAGGGGUGAGAGCAUGGCCCAGGGUCACGUCUGGGUUCCUGGACCAGUGACCGCCCUUAUAACCUCAGAUGUCUCACCUGUCGAAUGGGUAUACUUGGGGACAGCACCCACCCCCUGGAGUCACCACGAGGAUGAACAAGACAACCGUGUACAUGGUCAGCACAGAACAAGCACUGUUCUUUAUCCACGUUGAAGAAAUGAAAGAAUAAGAAAGCCAUCAUUUGGGGCCAGGUAAAGUGGCUCAUGCCUAUAAUCCCAGAACUUUGGGAGGCGGAGGGGGGGGGGGAUCACUUGAGGCCAGGAGUUUGAGACCAGCCUGGCCAACAUAGCAAGAUCCCAUCUCUACAAAAAUGAAAAAAUUAGCCAGGCGUGGGAGCACCGGCCUGUGGCCCCAGCUACUCAGGAGGCUGAGGGAGGAGUACCGCUUGAGGCAAGGUUGCAAUGAGCAACGAUCACAAUGCUGCACUCCAGCCCGGGUGACAGAGGGAGACCCUUUCUAAAAAAAAAAACAAAAAACAAAAAGCAAUAAAAUAAAAAAUAAAAAAAGAGUGAAAGAAGAAAGGAGAAUUGGAAGAAGUGGGGAGAUAAUCUCACACUUCAAAAAGAUAAAACCACUACUGGGCAUUUGGCUGAGAAUAUAAAAUGAAGUAGAGACAAGAGAAAUUAUA